AAUGAUGUUCAUGUUUUGAAUUAUGGUCUUGUUGAUUUUAAAAUCGGCGAUAAAGCAGGGGGUGUUUUCGGGGCUAUGAUGUGAUUGCCAGAGAAAGUGUGUAAUGUAACGUAGAGUGUAAGAAGCUCCUCCCGCACGUCUAAAAUCGUCACACCCGCAACCAGGAUGGCUGCGCAAGUAACGGCAAACUCGACGAAUCAUAGCAGAGCUCCACAAACCAAUGGGUGACGUCACACAUGCUCUGUCCAUUAAUAUUACACAGUCUAUGGGUGUGACUGUGGGAUA